UACGUAGGGGGCAAGCGUUGUCCGGAUUUAUUGGGCGUAAAGAGCGUGUAGGCGGCUUUGCAAGUCCGUUGUGAAAACUCGAGCUCAACCUCGAGACGCCGGUGGAAACUGCAAAGCUAGAGUCCGGAAGAGGAGAGUGGAAUUCCUGGUGUAGCGGUGAAAUGCGCAGAUAUCAGGAGAACACCGAUGGCGAAGGCAGGCU
rnacentral:rRNA from 1 species